AUAAAUAAAUAAAUAAAUAAAUAAAUAAAUAAAUCUUUAAAAAAAAAAAAGAUGAUCAGCAGCGAUACUGUUGAUUCAGGGAGAUGACCUGGGAACCAGCCAUUCUGAAAGGAAGUGAAAAGUUCUGGGGUAGCCUGCUGCAGGAGGGGUUGUCUGACUGGAGGUGUCCUCUUCUUUAUUGAAGAUGUGUGCCCUGCCCAGGAAGCUGGGGAAGGCAGUAGCCACCAGAGGCAAAGAGAUAAAGGGGGAGGGGGCAGUUCCUGGGCAGCAGCUGGAUGAAACUACUCAGAAGUACCAGGGAAACCAAAGUCAGUCCUGGGAAAGGAAGAGAAGACAAAGGCAGACAGAGGACAGCUGACACUUGCAAAGACAAAGGGGCAGGAUAAUCUUGAGGUGCUGAUGGGUGUGUGCAGGAGGCCUCAGGGAGGUGAGUGUGCUGCAGGUAGACCCAUUCACCAUUUUUCCAGAUCUUCCACGAGGCACCAUCUGCUCAUACGCACUUAGCAUCCUGCUUUCCAGCACCUAUCUGCUGAGCUGAAUUCCCACCUCUGAGAGUGACAUCACACUAACCCAGGGUCUUUAACAACAGUAGCUGAUGUUGGUCCUAUGUAAAACCGAUUAUUUAUCUCAAGUAUCUAUUCCAAGAAUAAUGUUUGAAACAUACGACGAGACUAGGGCUGGGAAGAUGGUAAAGUGGAUAAGAACUCGUGCUGCUCUCAGAGAGGACCCAAGUCUGAAUCCCGGCACCCAGGUCAGGGUUCAUAACCCCUUGUAACUCCAGCUCCAGUGGGAUUCAAUGUCUCUGGCACAUGUGCUCACACACGUGCACCCCCAAACAGUUAAUUAAAAAUGAAAAUAUUAAACACGAAAAGAACCUGGCACUGGUUAGGUAGUGCAGUUUAAGGUUGAGAACUAAAAAUAAAACAACAGAAAUAUUAAUUAGAAGAGACUUUUAGCACCCAAAUGCCACAGCAAGACUGCCAACUCCUGUUUUAUUUUUCCCUGCUUUUGAGAAACUUGAAAUCUCUGGCGCUCCCUUCCUGCAAUGUCCUCUCUGUGCCUGUGACAUUGAGACUUGGAUGACAAGUUUACCUGUUGGACUCAACGCUGCUUGGAUUUAAGGCUGACUCAGAGUCUCCCAGGAGAAGGGAUGGGCCGGAUAAGGGUAACUGUUUCAGUGAAGAAUGUUCACCUCGUCCAGCUCUGCAUCCUAAAGUGUAGCACCCAGUGGGUACUCUCUGCACAUUCUGUGAAUGAAGGAGACCCUAUAAUCCCUCGGCUCCCUCCCAUGGCCUGAUGACCAUUACUGACCUACUAGCCUACUUUUGCACCCGUGGAUUUGUGUACAGUGGAGUAUACUGACCAACGAAAGGAUCCGAUUGUUCAUUCAUGCACACGGCGACACUUUGGAUCACGAGACAUGUUGAAAGACUCCAGAUACAAAAGCCUGCGUGCAUGAGAUUCUACUUCUAGAAAACUCUUAGAAAAAUGCAUCACUUAUCAAAAGGGCCCAAGGGGAAGGAUGGUGCGAGGGACCAUUAGAGGGAUGCGCUGUUCUAAAACGUGAUUGAGCUGGUGGCAGCCUCGUGACACAUACGUUUACAGAAAUGCGUUAAACUGUCUACUGAAAAAGAGAUUUCAAUAUCAUAUAUCAAUAAGACUAUAAAAAGUCAGACGUGUGUAUGGCCCUAA
rnacentral:sRNA from 1 species